UACGUAGGGUGCAAGCGUUUGUCCGGAAUUAUUGGGCGUAAAGAGCUCGUAGGCGGCUUGUCGCGUCUGCUGUGAAAACCCGAGGCUCAACCUCGGGCCUGCAGUGGGUACGGGCAAGCUAGAGUGCGGUAGGGGAGAUUGGAAUUCCUGGUGUAGCGGUGGAAUGCGCAGAUAUCAGGAGGAACACCGGUGGCGAAGGCGGGUCUCUGGGCCGAUACUGACGCUGAGGAGCGAAAGCGUGGGGAGCGAACAGG
rnacentral:rRNA from 1 species